rnacentral:lncRNA from 1 species
UUACUUGUCUCUCUCUAUUUCUCUGGAGCCAUACGCAAGGAGGAGGAGAACUCGGUUGGAGCUCGUGUGUUGCCGACGUCGCGCCGCAGUACCGUUUGAGCGUGUGUUCAUCGUCGUAGCAUCGCGAGGAGGCCGGGUGAGGGUGCGUUUACGCCGUUCUCGACGUCGCACCUGAUUGGAAUUAGCUUUUGAGGUGGGUUUAUCAUCGGAUUCCUUCUCCUAUAGCUUUACUAGUCGACAUGUAUCGUUGGUGUUGCACGUUACUAUUGUUUAGCUCAAAUCCAUGGGUAUGCAUGUUUUAGACAUAUAAAUUGAAUUUGGAGCAUGUUAUUAGUUAUUAUUAAUUAUACAUGUUGGACUUGGAUUUGACAUAAGAGAAAACUAGCGUUCGGGACCUGUCAUAUGUUAAACUACCUGAUUUAGCCUUAGGGGGCGUUGUAUUUUUAUACUGUCGCAGUAUCCUUGUGGGGAGUACCCCAGGUAGUUCAGUUUACUGUUACGCUCGUGCUAGGAUGCUGAGCCUAUUUUUACAGUAGUGUUUACACUGUCCCAAACUAGUGGGUGCCGUCGUGGUUGACGGCGAACCCGGAUUUAAUUGAUUUGAUAUCAGAUUGUGCCGAGGGUACGUGACUAGUGGUUGAUAGUCCAGCUAGAUCCUAUUUACUUGACCUGAGCCUGUGAGAGCCAGAAUAAAAUGAUAGAGACAUUUGUAACUCGUGGGUCGCACCCGCGAAUGCCAUUCUGGAAUGAGAUUUCAGUGCGAUGAGUGUCGUAGUUUCUGUUGGAUAGUUCUUGAGCCGACCACCCCCGGGGUGGUGUACGGCAUAGUGAGAUACAGGCAGGGUGGGCCCGUUUGGGCAGCCCGGGUGAGAUAGUGAGUGACUUUUACUUGGUUAGUGUAGAGCAUGCUAGUGUAGCAAUAUGUAGCUGUAGAUUGCUUUCCAGCUUUUUCUUACUAGCUCUGUUUCUUUCUAUAGACUUAGUGGGUGGACCGAUGAUGUUGAGGGCGAUACCCACUGAGGACUACUUGUUUUUACAGUAGUUCUCACGCCCAGUUAUUACCACUAUUUUGCAGAGCCAUCGUCUUCAGCUGCUGUUGCUGUUGCCGAUUCUGACCGAGGCAAGAACGUCGCGAGUUAGAGCCCUACUAGACGAGUCGCUAUGAUAAAGGAGUACUUGCUGCAGGUAGUUGUACUUUUAUUAUUUUUUUGAGUUCAUGUACGUACUAAUGUAUAACUCGCUGGAGCGAGUACCUUUGUACAGGAUUUUCUUGUAUGUAUAUGAGACUUAUUUUGUUCUACCUGUUUAGUUUCUGUCUGCCACCACGAAUGACGCACCUCGCACGGCUGAUUUUAUUUUGAUUUUCCCGUGGGGUAGUAUUCAUGAUGUAGAUUAAAAUAUGUGUAUGUAUGGUUAUCAGGUAUUGCGGAUCCAUAGCUUCCAAUAAACGCAAGCGUCUAUUGUUAAUUACCCCUAUAGAAUAUUAGGGCACCUUCGAUUAAGAGACCUCUGAAAUGCUGAAGAUAAACUGGAGUUGGACAAAAAAAAAUUUUUAUAAUUUAUUGCUCAAUUACAUGGCUUUAACCAAGGGCAUACCCUCAGUGUACAUAAAUAGAGCGUAAAGAAAANCUUUGUCAUAGGAGACACAGCAUUCUUGGGGAACGUCAGCCUAUUGAAGACUGACGCUUUAGGCGCCAUAUCAAGUGGCGAUGUUCCCUCACUUCGAUUUUGGAACACCAACCUACCUUGUAGCUCCAUUCUCUUUGAAGCACUGAUAGGCGUGAUCCUCUCCCUCACAGGGACACGAGAGGCGUUAAGAGUCAUCCUCUCCUUCAUUGGAACGUGAGGAGGGUUGGGGAUGACGACAUUCGGGCGCCUUCCACGAGAGGGAAGGUGGGGAACCACAGUCUUAACGGUGUCGGUGCUGGUAGCAGCAGUGAAAGGGGCCAUAGCAGCAGCCCUAGCCUCUUCCGGGAUGGUGCCGAAUUGGAUCGUAGCACCGGCAGCUCCGAAAGUGAGGAUGGAUGCUGGCAGGGAAACCUGACCCGCCUUGAUCGUCAUCGAGCCCGCAGCAGUGUUCUUAGGUGUCAUUUCUCCUGCAGGGGAAUAAUGAAUGUAGAUUAAAUAUUUACCGCCCAAUUCUAUUAGCAUAUCAUUGGUCUCAAAGAUGGAAGGAGAAGCCAAGUCCCACCGGGCGUGCCAUUUUGUCUGCCACCACGAAUGACGCACCUCGCAUGGGAAAUUUUUAUCUUUUGAUUCUCCCGUGGGGUAGUAUUCAUGAUGUAGAUUAAAGUAUGUGUAUGUAUGGUUAUCAGGUAUUGCGGAUCCAUAGCUUCCAAUAAACGCAAGCGUCUAUUGUUAAUUACCCCUACAGAAUAUUAGAGCACCUUCGAUUAAGAGACCUCUGAAAUGCUGAAGAUAAACUGGAAUUGGACAAAAGGAAAUUUAUAAUUUAUUGCUCAAUUACAUGGCUUUAACCAAGGGCAUACCCUCAGUGUACAUGAAUAGAGCGUAAAGAAAAUGUAUUUUUCAAUUGUAUCUUAGUUAUAUAUUCUAAGAUACCCAAUAUAUGGUCAAAUUAAUUUUGUUGGACUCUAUAUAUUGCGGAGCUCAACACUAUUCACCCUAAGAUGAAAGAUUGAUUAAAUUCCAUAUAUAUAUGCAUUGGAAUUUAAUCAGAUUUAAUUUCGAUUAAACUCUAAUUAUAUGUAUUAGAGUUUGAUUUGGUUAAUUGAACUCUAAAUGUAUGUGAUAAAGUCCAAUGAGAUUUGAUUUUGUUGAGCUCUAUAUAUUUUGGAGCUCAACUCUGUUUACCAUGAGAUGAAAGAUUGAUUAAAUCCCAUAUAUAUACAUUGGAAUUUAAUCGAACUUGAUUAAACUCUGAACUUUAAAUAUAUGUAAUAAAGUCCAAUAGAGUUUGAUUUGAGCUUUUAUCCUAAAUAUAUGUAUUAGGAUUAGCCCCAAAUAUCUUGAAUUAGACUCUAAUUUUAUAUUUUAGAGUCUGAUACAAUUAGGCUCUAAGUUUAUGUAUUAGAGCUUAGUCACAUUUGAUUUUGGUUCAUCUCAAGAUGAAAUAUUAACUAAAUCCUAAUUAUAUGUAUUAGGAUUAGUCAGAUUUGAUUUAAAUUAAACUCCAAGUGUAUGUAUUGGAAUCCAACAAAUUAAUUUGAUCAGAUGGUUUGAUCAAUUCUAAAUAUAGGUUUAGAAUUUGAUCAAGAUUGUGAUUUGACUCUAGUUUUAUAUGCUAGAGAAUCGAAUAUUUUGGGAAUUGGGAUGUUCGUGAAAAUUGAACUUGAGUUUAGUUUAACGACAUUUCGGUCGAUGUCGGAUUUAGGUUUAGUUUAACGACGUUUCGGUCGGUUGAUUUGGUGGAUUAGUUUAACGACGUUUCGGUCGAAGUUUUGGGUUUGGUUCACAAGGUUUAUGGUAUUGGGUAUAUGGGAUUAUGGUUCAUGAACUUAGAUAUGGCUCAUGGAUUUAUGGUUCAUGGACUUAUGGUUCAUGGACUUAUGGUUCAUGGGUUUGAAUAUGGGUUAAUGGUAUGGGUUCAUGGGUAAUGUAUAUGGUUUAUGUAUAUGGUUUAUGGGUUAAUGGUUUUAAUGAUUUUGGAUAAUGAGCUUAGAUAGUGGGCCCAAANAUGACUUAGGUCCAUAUGAUCGGGCUUAGAUUCAUGUCUCGAGGUUUUAUUUUGAUCAAUUAAGAUUUUCAUAUACAUUUUCUUCAAAUUCUGAAUUUGAAUAACAAAUUAAAUUUCAAUUUAAUUUGAAGUGUCUAAUGUGAUUUUGUCAAAGCUCUCUCUCUCUUUUAGAGUGGUCUCUCUUUUUGGUGAUAUUUUGCAAAGAGCACCAUCGAUGUUCAUCUCGGCGUUCCAUCGAGCGGUUUGAUUAGCACAUCGACGACGAAGUAUUUCGUCGAAUGAUUGGUCGGUAAAUGAGAGCAUCGCUCUCUUUAUGAUUCGCCACCGAGCAAUUAUCGGGCGAACUUUGUUUGAGAGGAAAGCACCGCUCUCUCUCUCGGAUUCGUCGUCGGAGCGGUUGGCGGACUUGACUUCAUUUGAGAGGAGAGCACCGCUCUCUCUCAGGUUCGCCGUCGAGCGGUUGGUGGGCGGACUCCGUUUGAGAGGAGAGCAUCGCUCUCUCUCUCAGGAUCGACGUCGAGCGGUUGGUGGGCGGACUCCGGGUACAUCGAGCACUUGGCGGGCGGAACCCGUUUGAGAGGAGAGCACCGCUCUCUCUCUCAGGUUCGCUGUCGAGCAGCUGGCGGGCAUUGUUGAUGACGGAGCUCCGCUGGGGUUUGACCAGACAGUGGAGCCGCGGAUCUGAGACCGCGAUGGAAGAGGGCCGUGACGGCGACGCUCUGCAGCGGUGAAGGGCCACGGCAGCGGCGCGGCAUCGACGGGGCUGCGACCUUCGAGGUGGAGCGACGCGGCAUCAGAGAGAACUCCUCGGGUUCGAGCUAUCAAAGUCGACGGCGGCGCGCGAGCGUCGACGGAUCGGCCGAGAUCACGAGCAGAGUCAUGGGCGGCGGCUCGGCAUGCGCAUCGAUGAAUUGGCCGCGGGUGGCGCGGUUUCGGGCGGAUCGGCCGCGGGUGGCGCGGUUUCGAGAGGACCGGCCGCGGGUGGCGCGGCUUCAAAAGUAUCGGCCGCGGGUGGCGCGGCUUCAGGCAGAUCGGCCGCGGGUGGCGCGGCUUCGAGUCGAGGACGGCAGCGGUGGCGGCUUCAGGCAGAUCGGCCGCGGGUGGCGCGGCUUCGAGUAGAGGACGGCAGCGGUGGCGGCUUCAGGCAGAUCGGCCGCGAGGAGGCGGACGACCUCGGGUAGUUGAGGUCAGCGAGAAGCAGCGGCCUCGGCAGCGUAGGGGUCGGCGAGAUAUCGACCAACUUGGCGUCGCGGCCCGCGACGAGCAAGUCGCAGGCGAGGGCGAUCUCAAACCCGGCGGUGACGGCGAAUCCGACGACGGCGCUGACGAUGGGCUUGCGGCACGCGGCCAUGGCGGCGACGGGGUCGGCGGUGGGGUCCUUGACGUCGCCCUUGAAGACGUCUUCGGCGGCGGCGAGGUCGACGCCGGAGCAGAAGGUGCGGCCGCGCCCGGCGAGGACCACGGCGGUCACGGCGUCGUCGGCGUCGAGGCGGCGGAACGCGCCUGCGAGCGUGAUCAUCAUGGGGCGCGUGAGAGAGUUGAGCGCGCCCGGGCGGUUGAUGGUGACCACGGCCACCACGGAUCCAUGGGGUCGCCGCUCCACUUGAGCAUUUCGUCGAGCACCUUGUCGGAGGCGAGCUCGCCCAUGGCGUUGUAGUAGUUUUGCUUCAGGUCUCCUUGUGGUCGGAGAGGAGCGCGGAGAGAGUGUCCAUCGCGGAUUGGAUCGCGCCGACCUCGGAGAAGAAGAGGGCAAGGUUCGCCUCCUCCGCGGGGGUGAGCCCCCCCUAGCCUCGAGAUCCGCGCUGGCCUCGGGUUCCUUGGUCAAUGUCUCUUCGAACAUGGUUGGUGAGAGAGAGAGCUUUGGGUUGUAGGAGACACAGAAGAGAGAGAGAAAGCUUUGAUCGUGGCUACCUUAAUGAAAAAGAAAAAAACAUUAUUUUUUGUACCUUUCUUUUUUUUCUCUUUCGUGAACAGGGGAUGCGAUGUUUUUUUUUUUUUUUUUUUUGUUAGGAAUCGGUUUGAGAAUUCAAAAAAAAUGUCUUCUCCCUUUUUCGUUGGGAGAUAUUUAUGGGACUAGUCUAACUACCCGGGAGAACGUGCAUAUAGUGCGUGCGUAUAGGAGAGGUUUGUGGGAUGUGGGUAGUUAGGGGAUCGUGGGAUGAUGGAAUCGUGGGUAAUCGUGAUGGGAUUGUGGGAUGAUGGAAUCGUGGGUGAUCGUGAUGGGAUUGUGGGAUGACGGAAUCGUGGGUGAUCGUGAUGGGAUUGUGGGAUGAUGAGUGGUUACGAUGAGAUUGUGGGAAUAUUGCAAAUUAAUCCUUUCUCUUUACUCAUAUUACACUUUAGUCAAAAUAAUAAAAUAUUAUAUGACUAAAGUGGAGCAUUUUGUAAAUAUAUGAAAGGGAAUAGACUAAUAUGCUAUUUUUAAUACCCGUUCGUAUCUACAAGAACGUCCCACUUUUCGUAAUCUAUGCUCCCGGUGCAUGAGAUAUUUUCAAAAUUUAAAUUUUAUCCAUGCACCUGGUGCAUGGAUAAUCUCAUAAGCCAUCUCUAUUUUUAUUUCUUUCUCUCCCCUUUUUUUUUUUCUUUUAUUCCUCUCCCUUUUUUUAUGCUUCAACAGUUUCUUUACAGCUCUAUACUACUGGUUGUAGUAUUGUAUGUAUUACAGUUCCAGCUACGUUUCGUAUACAUGAAAAAUUUUUUGUAUACGGCGAAUUUGUCGGCGUGCCCAGGGAACAUGUUAAUCCGAGGCAUGACAGAUUAAGUUGGUAUCAGAGCCUAACAUUAGGUCAUUGGGAUCUAGGAAACCUAAGUUUGCCAAACCUUAGGAAGACAAGACGAGAGUGGCGUGAAUUACUGCGAAAGUCAAUGAUUAGUUGUUCUAACUUCUCCUAGAAUGGAGUGAGCGAUUGAAGGAGUGCCUGUUUUGGCCUGCAAAAUUAUGUUGGCUACAGACGACAUAAUUUUGAGGAGAAAUAGGUGCCGCCUUCUGGACUUUCGUUGAUUGUGUCGAGAGUGUUUGUGGUUAUCUGACUUUGUUUUAUUCUUUGCAGCUAUAUAUCGUCGCCGAGGCCGACCAUCUUUGCGGGAGCGUGCACAGCUGGCGCAGGAUCGUGCCAGAUCUCCCGAGAUACCAGUACAGGCGGAGCAGAGUGCCCGACCGGAGACGAGCACACUCCUUGACUUGAGCGCACAGUUGGCUGCCUCGACUGAGGUGACGAGGCGGCAGAGCGAGUUGUUGGAGAGGAUGUACGAGAGGUUGGCUCCACCCCAGAGCACAGUACCAGAGCAGCCAAUUCCACCUCCGUCUAUACCAGCAGCAGUACCCCCGGCAGUGGCAGUUCCUUUAGCGCCAGUUGCACCUGUUGGUGAGGCACCACAGUUGACCGAGGCUGAGCAGGAGCAGAUGGCUGAGAGACUUGCUCGUUUUCAUCGUUUUGAUCCACCGACCUUCGACGGCAGAUGCUCAGAGGCCUGGGUAGUUGAGGACUGGGUCAGCACGAUGGAGAAGUUAUUUGAGGAUCUUUUCAUCCCAGAGCCGGAGCAGGUACAUUUGGGAGUUCACUGUUUGACUGGGGAUGCCCUUGCUUGGUGGCGGAGAAUAAGACGAGAUUACAGGUUGGUGACUCUACAGAUGAGAUGGGACGAGUUCUGUGGAAUGCUGUAUGGGAUGUAUUUUCCCAACAGUGUGAAACAGAAGCUCGAGGUGGACUUGAAGAGGAUCCAACAGGGAGAUCGGUCGGUGCAGGAUUAUAUUCGGGAGUUCACUCGACUCCUGAAUUGUGUGCCGUUUGUAGCUAGGGACGAGGCGCACAGAGUGUAUUUGUUUGAGCAGGGUUUGAGACCCGAGAUUUUCAGGUUCGUGCAUGCGCAGAGGUUGAGAACCUUGGACGCGUCGAUGGAGCAGGCUCUUUGGGUUGAGAGAGGUGAUGCAUCUAUUCGGGAGAGGACGUAGGCAGUAGGACAGAGUCAGGAUAGGAAGCGUCCAGCUCCAGAUGAUAGUGGACAGUCGAGCAGCCGACAUCCGCCAAGACCUCCACGAUCGCGUUCUCAGAGUCGUGGGUUCUCGGGGCGUCAGCGUUCUGGGGGACCUCGGCAGCAGAGGCAGUCGCAGGGGUCACCGUAGUGUGUGAUUUGCGGGGGACCACACUGGGCCCGACAGUGCGAGCAGCGUAAGGGUUGUUGUUUUGGAUGCGGACAGCUAGGGCGCAUGAGCUUAACUUGUCCCCGAGCAGUAUCACCAGAACCAUCGACUGCUUCAGCAUCACCAGCACCUCAGCAAUCUUAUGGAGCACCACCGCAGAGCUACCGCCAGGAGGAUAGGGCAUCUGCGCCGCGUCAGGGUGAGCGGCGACAGCAGGCUCCGAGCGGCAGGGUUUAUGCAGCCCAGGUAGAGGACUCUACAGCAGCCGACUGAGUGGUGGCAGGUAUUGUUCUGAUUUCUGGUAUUCGAGCUUGUACUCUUUUCGAUACCGGUGCAUCGCAUUCUUUUGUUAGUCGAGCAUUUGCUCUGUUACAUGGUCGAGAGUUAGGAGCUUUGUUACACGCACGGAAAGUGCAAAUCCCUGACCAUGUGUUACAGGUUGCAGAGUGUUGUUGGUCGUGUCCGAUGCAGUUGGAUUCGUAGAUCCUGCCCGCAGACCUGUUGGUUUUAAGGCAGCUGCAGGACUCGACGUUUUGCUCGGUAUGGAUUGGUUGAUACGGUACUAUGCUACUAUCGACUGUGGAGCGAGGUCUGUGACGUUUCGCGAGCCAGGCCAGGAGGAGUUCACUUUCAGAGGCUGUAGGAGUGCUUUGUUUGCCACUUGGAUAUCUUCGGCGAGGGCUCGACAGUUGAUGAGUAGAGGAUGCGUUGCUUUUCUGGCGACUACAACAGAGGUGCCUACGGGGGCGCCAGGACUCGAGGAUAUCCCUAUAGUCCGCGAGUUUCCGGACGUGUUUUCCCCGGAGUUGACGACGUUGCCGCCGGAGAGGGAGAUAGAGUUUGUGAUUGAUGUAGUUUCUGAAACUGCACCAAUCUCGAAGGUAUCUUAUCGGAUGGCACCGGCGGAACUGAGAGAGCUAAAGGCGCAACUUCAGGAUCUGAUGGAUAAGGGAUAUGUGAGACCCAGUGUAUCGCCUUGGGGAGCACCGGUGUUAUUCGUAAAGAAGAAGGAUGGUUCGCUCAGGUUAUGUGUGGAUUACCGAGAGCUGAAAAAAGUGACCAUCAAGAACAAGUAUCCUCUGCCGCGCAUUGAUGAUUUGUUUGAUCAGUUGCAGGGAUCUUCUGUCUUCUCGAAGAUUGAUCUCUAGUCCGGUUACCACCAGCUGAGGGUGAGGGCCGAGAAUGUUCCCAAGACGGUUUUUUGGACUCGGUAUGGGCAUUAUGAAUUUACAGUGAUGCUUUUUGGAUUGACGAAUGCCCCUGCCGCAUUCAUAGAUUUGAUGAACAGGGUGUUCAAGCUGUUCUUGGAUAGAUUUGUGGUAGUCUUCAUCGAUGAUAUUCUGAUUUACUCCAGUAGUGAUGUUGAGCAUGAGGAGCACUUGAGGAUUGUGCUACAGCUUCUACGAGAGAAGAAGCUGUAUGCCAAGUUAAAGAAGUGUGAGUUCUGGUUACGGGAGGUAGCUUUCUUGGGCCACGUGAUUUCUGCAGAGGGAGUAGCAAUGGACCCGAAGAAAAUUAAUGCUAUUCGGGAUUGGCCCAGACCGACGACGGUGUCAGAGGUGAGGAGUUUCCUUGGACUUGCAGGUUAUUACCGUCGAUUUGUGGAAGGCUUUGCGAAGCUUUCCACACCACUCACUCGACUGACUCGUAAAGGAAUUAAGUUUAUCUGGAGUGAGGAUUGCCAAAGGAGCUUCCAUGAGUUGAGACAGAGGUUGACGUCAGCUCCUAUCCUUGCACUUCCAAUGAUGGGGGAAGGAUUUGUAAUUUACAGUGAUGCAUCGCUUAGUGGUUUGAGCUGUGUGUUGAUGCAGCAUGGUAGGGUAAUUGCUUAUACUUCACGGCAGUUAAAGGAUUACGAGAAAAAUUACCCUACGCAUGACUUGGAGUUUGCCACGGUAGUCUUUGCUUUGAAGUUGUGGCGGCAUUAUUUGUACGGCGAGCACUGCGAGGUUUUCAUUAAUCAUAAAAGUCUCAAGUAUCUGCUCACCCAGAGGGAGUUGAAUUUGAGGCAACGCCAGUGUUUGGAGUUAGUGAAGGACUAUGACAUUAGUAUUCAGUAUCAUCCUGGUAGGGCGAAUGUAGUGGCAGAUGCGUUGAGCAGGAAGACAGUGCAGAGCUUGAGUUUGUUGAUCACUAAGCAGAGGCCGUUACGUGAGGAGUUGCAGCGGCUGAGGCUCGAGGUGGUGUCCCCUAGAUUUACUGCGUGACUGAUGUCUAUGGUCUUGCAGCCUACUCUGUUGGACAGGAUCCGGGAGAAACAGAGUGGAGAUCCGCAUUUGUCGAGGAUUCGAGAGCAGCUAAAUAGGGGAUAGGCUGAUGGUUUUGCUGUGGACAGUUCGGGAGUACUGCGGUACAUGCACCGACUGUGUGUGCCUGUGGAUUCAGAGAUCCGAGAGGACAUUUUGAGGGAGGCUCAUUGUUCACCUUAUACGGUUCACCCUGGAGGAACCAAGAUGUAUAAGGAUUUGAAGGCACAGUUAUGGUGGAACGGAAUGAAAAGGGACAUUGGCAGAUUUGUAGCUCAGUGUCUAACUUGCCAACAGGUAAAGGCCGAGUAUCAGGUACCUACUGGCAAGCUUCAUAGUCUGUCAGUGCCCGAAUGGAAGUGGGAGCAGAUCACAAUGGAUUUCGUCGUAGGGUUACCUAGAGCACAGGGUAGCUACGAUGCAAUCUGUGUGAUAGUGGACAAACUGACUAAGUCUGCUCACUUCCUACCAGUUCAGACCACCUAGUCCAGAGAGAGACUCGCACAGCUAUACCUGGAUGAGAUUGUCAGGCUGCAUGGUGUACCAGUGUCAAUUGUAUCAGACAGGGACCCGAGAUUUGUUUCGCAUUUCUGGAGGAGUUUGCAGACAGCCUUGGGUACACAGCUGCAUUUCAGCACGGCGUUUCACCCACAGACAGAUGGUCAGUCACAGCGGACCAUUCAGACUCUGGAGGACAUGCUGAGGGCAUGCAUCCUGAAUUUUGGAGGAGGGUGGUAUCGACAUUUGAGGUUGGUUAAGUUUGCGUACAACAACAGCUAUCAAAGGAGCAUCCAAAUGACUCCGUUUGAGGCGUUGUAUGGAUGCAAGUGUCGAUCCCCUUUGUUUUGGAGUGAUGUGGGUGAGAGGAAGACACUUGGGCCUGAGAUUUUGCUAGAGGCUGAGGAAAAGGUGAGAGUUGUUCGACAACACCUUUUGACAGCCCAGAGUCGCCAGAGGAGCUACGCCGAUACCAGGAGACGAGACUUGGAGUUUCAGGUUGGAGAUCAUGUAUUUCUUAAACUCUCGCCGUCUAGAGGGAUUCGCCGAUUUGGAGUACGUGGAAAGCUUAGUUCAUGUUUCGUUGGCCCUUUUGAGGUAUUGGAACGAGUUGGACCAGUUGCUUACAGGAUUACUUUACCUCCCCGACUAGCUGGUAUUCACGAUGUGUUCCACGUCUCGGCAUUGAGGAGAUAUGUUUUCGAUCCUUCUCACGUGAUUGACUUCACUCCACUAGAGAUUGGCGAUGAUCUGAGAUACGAGGAGCGACCAGUGCGAAUUCUUGCUCGUGAGACGAAAGAAUUGCGCAACCGGGUCAUCUCGUAUGUAAAAGUGCAGUGGAGCAAUCACGAGGAGCGGGAGGCGACUUGGGAGCCAGAGACGGUGAUGAGGGAGUCCUACCCCGACCUGUUCGAUACCCCAUAUUGAGGUAUGUGUUAAGUUUCGAGGACGAAACUUUUUGUAGUAGGGGAGGAUGUAGUAUCUUAUAUAUAUAUAUAUAUAUAUAUAUAUAUAUAUAUAUAUAUAUAUAUAUAUAUAUAUAUAUAUAUAUAUAUAUAUAUAUAUAUAUAUAUAUAUAUAUAUAUAUAUUAGUACUUAGUUAGUUGGUAAAUGACUGAGUGUGGCUAUGGAUGCCACGUGCACCCCCCAUGCAUGCUUAGCAACAAAGUCAUAGGUGGGCAUUUCUUUAUUCUACUUGUCUCUCUCUAUUUCUCUGGAGCCGUACGCAAGGAAGAGAAGAACCCGGUUGGAGCUCGUGUGUCGCCGACGUCGCGCCGCGGUACCGUUUAAGCGUGUGUUCGUCGUCGUAGCAUCGCGAGGAGGCCGGGCGAGGGUGCGUUUACGCCGUUCUCGACGUCGCACCUGAUUGGAAUUAGCUUUUGAGGUGGGUUUAUCAUCGGAUUCCUUCUCCUAUAGCUUUACUAGUCGACAUGUAUCGUUGGUGUUGCACGUUACUAUUGUUUAGCUCAAAUCCAUGGGUAUGCAUGUUUUAGACAUAUAAAUUGAAUUUGGAGCAUGUUAUUAGUUAUUAUUAAUUAUACAUGUUGGACUUGGAUUUGACAUAGGAGAAAGCUAGCGUUCGGGACCUAUCAUAUGUUAAACUACCAGAUUUAGCCUUAGAGGCCGUUGUAUUUUUAUACUGUCGCAGUAUCCUUGUGGGGAGUACCCCAAGUAGUUCAGUUUACUUUUAUGCUCGUGCUAGGAUGCUGAGCCUAUUUUUACAGCAGUGUUUACACUGUUCCGAACUAGUGGGUGCCGUAGUGGUUGACGGCGAACCCGGAUUUAAUUGUUUUGAUAUCAGAUUGUGCCGAGGGCACGUGACUAGUGGUUGAUAGUCCAGCUAGAUCCUAUUUACUUGACCUGAGCCUGUGAGAGCCAAAAUGAAAUGACAGAGAUAUUUGUAACUCGUGGGUCGCACCCGCGAAUGCCAUUCUGGAAUGAGGUUUCAGUGCGAUGAGUGUCGUAG